rnacentral:rRNA from 1 species
UACAGAGGUCUCAAGCGUUGUUCGGAUUCAUUGGGCGUAAAGGGUGCGUAGGUGGCGGGGUAAGUCAGGUGUGAAAUUUCGGAGCUUAACUCCGAAACUGCAUUUGAUACUGCCUUGCUUGAGGACUGGAGAGGAGACUGGAAUUCACGGUGUAGCAGUGAAAUGCGUAGAGAUCGUGAGGAAGACCAGUGGCGAAGGCGGGUUGCUGGGCCGACACUGACGCUGAUGCGCGAAAGCCAGGGGAGGCGAACGGG